UACGUAGGGUGCGAGCGUUGUCCGGAAUUAUUGGGCGUAAAGAGCUUGUAGGCGGUUUGUCGCGUCUGCUGUGAAAAUCCGGGGCUCAACCCCGGACUUGCAGUGGGUACGGGCAGACUAGAGUGUGGUAGGGGAGACUGGAAUUCCUGGUGUAGCGGUGGAAUGCGCAGAUAUCAGGAGGAACACCGAUGGCGAAGGCAGGUCUCUGGGCCACUACUGACGCUGAGAAGCGAAAGCAUGGGGAGCGGACAGG
rnacentral:rRNA from 1 species